rnacentral:rRNA from 1 species
AUUGAACGCUGGCGGCAGGCCUAACACAUGCAAGUCGAACGAGAGGCGGACGGGUGAGUAAUGUCUGGGAAAGUGCACGGUGGACGGGGCUAACUCCUGGAAACGGUAGCUAAUACCGCAUACAAUCGGUUGUGCCCAGAUGGGAUUAGCUAGUAGGGGGGGUAACGGCUAAUCUAGGCGACGAUCCCUAGCUGGUCUGAGAGGAUGACCAGCCGCACUGGAACUGAGACACGGCCCAGACUCCUACGUGAGGCAGCAGGGGGGAAUAUUCCACAAUGGGCGCAAGCCUGACGCAGCCAUGCCGCGUGUAUGAAGAAGGCCUUCGGGUUGUAAAGUACUUUCAGCGAGGAGGCGUUACUCGCAGAAUAAGCACCGGCUAACUCCGUGCCAGCAGCAGCGGUAAUAC